rnacentral:rRNA from 1 species
UACGUAGGGUGCGAGCGUUAAUCGGAAUUACUGGGCGUAAAGUGUGCGCAGGUGGCCGCGCAUGUCGAGUGUGAAAUCCCCGGGCUUAACUUGGGAAUUGCGCUCGAAACUAACGUGGCUCGAGUGUGGCAGAGGAAGGUGGAAUUCCGACGUGUAGCGGUGAAAUGCGUAGGAGAAUGUGGAGGAACACCGAUGGCGAA